rnacentral:lncRNA from 1 species
CAGGUGGCGCCUGCAGACGCGACUCCAGCAUCUACCGGGAUUUUCUUCUUCGCUGUGACGUGUAUACAUUUAUGUAUCUUCCUCUUUUUUCAUUCUCUUUCGACGUGGAUAACUUUACAGUUUGGCCCCUAAGAUGCACAAUAGUGAGAUAUGAUCAAGACCAAACUAGAAGAAGGCAUCACACGGAGAUCCUGGACUUAGAGGUGAGCCGUGACUGUGAGACCUCAAGCUGUCUCCUGCACCUGACCGGCUCACAACCUAGUGGCUCGAGCCCUACGAACUGCGAUGUGUUUGAAGGGAAUACUGGCAAGGAAUGGAAACUAUAAAAUAAAGGGAAAAAAGAGUUCAGAGGAUGUGACCAGCCAGAGAUAUGAACUGUCAUAAGAGAACAGAGAGCACACUCAGUACCCAUAACUUCAGCAGGACCAGAGGAUGAGGUGAGAUAAGCGACGUCAUAGCAGCCCCUGGGAACCCAGGAGAUCAUAAAGACCCCUCCCUUGCUGCCUUGAAGCCUCCGAGACUCCACACCAUGCUUGAUCUAAUCUUGGUCAGGAGAAUGGAGGGGAGGGGGCCUAGAAGGAGAAUGGCAAUCUUAAAAUCACAUAUGCUUCACUUCCUGUCCCCACCUAAAUAAGACAGAGGCUGGACAGUCAGAAAAAAUUUACAAGCUGCAAUUGUUACAAACCCCAAUUUGUCACUUGAAUCUUCUUGGGGAAGGGAAUUUGUGGGCUAGGUAACCAAUGGAAUGGAUGGGGCUCUCUACUAUAGCUGUUUGCCCAGAAUCUUGCGCCCUUCUUUGGUAAUAAAACCCACUCUGUUCAGAAAGGGAUUACUUCCCAUUUCAUGAGACCCAGGUGGGGCUGUUCACCCCAGAGUUCCACCCAGUACCCAUCCUGGGCA